GUCCCUGUAGCACAAUGGAUCGUGCGUUGGACUUCUAAUCUAAAGGCCGUGGGUUCGAAUCCCACCUGGGAUG